GUUGUAUGGUCAAGUAAUUAAGCGCACAUGGUGGAUGCCUUGGCAGUCAGAGGCGAUGAAAGACGUGACAGCCUGCGAUAAGCUUCGGGGAGGCGGCAAUAUCCUGUGAUCCGGAGAUUUCUGAAUGGGGAAACCCACUUAGCGUAAGCUAGGUAUCCUAAUUUAUUAGGAAGCGAACGAGGGGAAGUGAAACAUCUCAGUACCCUUAGGAAAAGACAUCAAUAGAGAUUCCCCUAGUAGCGGCGAGCGAACGGGGAGGAGCCGACGGAUUUAUAUGUAGAAGAACAGUGUGGGAAAACUGGCCAUAGUGGGUGAUAGCCCCGUAUUCGAAACAUAUAAUGAAGCAUAUUAAGUAGUGCGGGACACGAGAAAUCCUGUAUGAAGAUGGGGGGACCAUCCUCCAAGGCUAAAUACUCCUGACUGACCGAUAGUGAACCAGUACCGUGAGGGAAAGGCGAAAAGAACCCCUGUGAGGGGAGUGAAAUAGAACCUGAAACCGUGUGCGUACAAGCAGUGGGAGC
rnacentral:rRNA from 1 species